UACGUAGGGUGCGAGCGUUGUCCGGAAUUAUUGGGCGUAAAGAGCUCGUAGGCGGUCUGUCGCGUCGAAUGUGAAAACCCGGGGCUCAACUCCGGGCUUGCAUUCGAUACGGGCAGGCUAGAGUUCGGUAGGGGAGUCUGGAAUUCCUGGUGUAGCGGUGAAAUGCGCAGAUAUCAGGAGGAACACCGGUGGCGAAGGCGGGACUCUGGGCCGAUACUGACGCUGAGGAACGAAGGUCAGGGGAGCAAACGGG
rnacentral:rRNA from 1 species